rnacentral:rRNA from 1 species
AGAGUUGAUCCUGGCUCAGGAUGAACGCUAGCGGCAGGCCUAACACAUGCAAGUCGAGGGGCAGCGCGGGAGUAGCAAUACACCGUGGCGGCGACCGGCGGAAGGGUGCGUAACGCGUGAGCAACAUGCCCGUCACAGGGGGAUAAAAGAUGGAAACGUCUCCUAAUACCCCGUAACAUCGUUUGCGGCAUCGCAGGCGGUUGAAAGUUUCGGCGGUGACGGAUUGGCUCGCGUGACAUUAGCUAGUUGGAGUGGUAACGGCACACCAAGGCGACGAUGUCUAGGGGUUCUGAGAGGAAGGUCCCCCACACUGGAACUGAGACACGGUCCAGACUCCUACGGGAGGCAGCAGUGAGGAAUAUUGGUCAAUGGGCGGAAGCCUGAACCAGCCAUGCCGCGUGAAGGAAUAAGGUCCUAUGGAUCGUAAACUUCUUUUGUACGGGAGCAAUAAGGGCCACGCGUGGUCCGAUGAGAGUACCGUACGAAUAAGCAUCGGCUAACUCCGUGCCAGCAGCGGC